GAGUCGAGAUCGCACCACUGCACUUCAGCCUGGGAGCCACAGGCAAAGUGGGCUGAGGCUUGGCAUUCCCCUCGAGGUCAUCUGGCCAUUCUGAACGCCCCUCCUCAGCCUGCUUCCUCCGGCUGAGCCAUGUGCCCCCGGAACCCCUCUCAACUCUGUUGCCGACCCCUCCCUCCAUCUGCGCCUUCAGUGAAGCAGUUUCUUAAAGGAGGGGUCCUUGGUACCGUGGAGGGACAGGACAUCUCUGGGAAUUCGUACCCAGCUGCGUUCGUGCUGAGUUCUUCAUGACCCACUCCUUCCAGCGUCAGCUGGUGGAUCCAGGGCUGGGUACUGAGCCGUACUGGACCAGUGGGCCCCCUCCCGGGAUCGCUGGACUUGGAGCAGAAGAGUCCCUCCAGGGCUGAAGAUUGGACACAGAAAACUUGGGAACUGUCAACUGCCCUGUUAUUCACCUCGUGAAAAAAGCUGGAUUUCAAUGAGAGCGAAUGGAGGUGACAAUUCCCAGAAACUGGAAUUGGGAUGGUGAGAUUUUAGUUCAGCCGCCGGCGGUCUCAUGCGUGGAGGUGAUAAAGUUGAGCUUUGAGGUGGUCUUCAGAGGGAGAGGAAUACCCUCUGCGGGCAGAGCUUCCUGGGUUCCGGGCCCUUCCGGACGUCAACACAGGUCCAAAUGCCCUUGGGCUUCUCCGCACACCCUGGGUGCAAGAAUAAAUCCUUCUCUCUGCCGCCAUUAGCCUGACUGGCUUCGGUUACUUCGCACAAAGAGCCCUUGCCGAGCAAAACGUCCCCGGUGCUGCUCCAAAGGAGACCCCUGCCCUCCUGGAAGCUCCUCCCUGAGGCCGGGUAUCCACUCGCCGCUCGCAGCCCUCGCUCUAGCUCCAGCUCCUGUUCCUUUUCCUGCCUACCCCGCCCAGUGAGGAGAUCAGCACCCCUUGUCUGUCUCUGUGUCUGUCGGGGUUCGUGCCUCACUGUGUCCAAGCCCGGCUUCUAUCCCUAGUCCCUUCCUGUUCGCGCCACUCCUGCUUGCUUUCUUCUCCCCUUCCCUCCAGCGGUGGUUCCAAACCUUCUCUUCCAUAAGACCCUCCAUUCCGUUUCCCAGAGACCCAGGGGUGCCC
rnacentral:lncRNA from 1 species